rnacentral:rRNA from 1 species
UACGGAGGGUGCAAGCGUUAUCCGGAUUCACUGGGUUUAAAGGGUGCGUAGGAGGGCAGGUAAGUCAGUGGUGAAAUCCUGGGGCUUAACCCCAGACUGCCGUUGAUACUAUCGGUCUUGAAUGUCGUGGAGGUGAGCGGAAUAUGUCAUGUAGCGGUGAAAUGCUUAGAUAUGACAUAGAACACCAAAUUGCGAAGGCAGCUUGCUACACGGAUAUUGACUCU